AGGACGAACGCUGGCGGCGUGCUUAACACAUGCAAGUCGAGCGGUAAGGCCCUUUCGGGGGUACACGAGCGGCGAACGGGUGAGUAACACGUGGGUGACCUGCCCUUAGCUCUGGGAUAAGCCUGGGAAACUGGGUCUAAUACCGGAUAUGACCUCGCGAUGCAUGUCGUGGGGUGGAAAGCCUUGUGCGGCUAGGGAUGGGCCCGCGGCCUAUCAGCUUGUUGGUGGGGUGAUGGCCUACCAAGGCGACGACGGGUAGCCGGCCUGAGAGGGCGACCGGCCACACUGAGACUGAGACACGGCCCAGACUCCUACGGGAGGCAGCAGUGGGGAAUCUUGCGCAAUGGGCGAAAGCCUGACGCAGCGACGCCGCGUGAGGGAUGACGGCCUUCGGUUGUAAACCUCUUUCAGCCCUGACGAGCGAAAGUGACGGUAGGGCGAGAGAAGCACCGGCCAACUACGCGCCAGCAGCCGCGGUAA
rnacentral:rRNA from 1 species